UACGAAGGGGGCUAGCGUUGCUCGGAAUUACUGGGCGUAAAGCGUGCGCAGGCGGUUGUGUAAGACAGAUGUGAAAUCCCCGGGCUCAACCUGGGAACUGCAUUUGUGACUGGCGGGCUAGAGUAUGGCAGAGGGGGGUAGAAUUCCACGUGUAGCAGUGAAAUGCGUAGAGAUGUGGAGGAAUACCGAUGGCGAAGGCAGCCCCCUGGGCCAAUACUGACGCUCAUGCACGAAAGCGUGGGGAGCAAACAGG
rnacentral:rRNA from 1 species